rnacentral:rRNA from 1 species
GAUGAACGCUGGCGGCGUGCCUAAUACAUGCAAGUCGAGCGAACGGACGAGAAGCUUGCUUCUCUGAUGUUAGCGGCGGACGGGUGAGUAACACGUGGAUAACCUACCUAUAAGACUGGGAUAACUUCGGGAAACCGGAGCUAAUACCGGAUGAUAUUUUGAACCGCAUGGUUCAAAAGUGAAAGACGGUCUUGCUGUCACUUAUAGAUGGAUCCGCGCUGCAUUAGCUAGUUGGUAAGGUAACGGCUUACCAAGGCAACGAUGCAUAGCCGACCUGAGAGGGGGAUCGGCCACACGGGAGCUGGGACGCGGUCCGGGCGCCUACGGGAGGCAGCAGUAGGGAAUGGGCGGCAAUGGGGGAGAGCCUGGCGGAGCGGCGCGGCGUGGGUGAGGGAGGGGUUGGGAGCGGAAAACUCUGUUAUUAGGGAAGAACAUAUGUGUAAGUAACUGUGCACAUCUUGACGGUACCUAAUCAGAAAGCCACGGCUAACUACGUG